GGGGGUAUAGCUCAGCUGGGAGAGCACCUGCUCCGCAAGCAGGGGGUCGUCGGUUCAAAUCCGUCUACCUCCA
rnacentral:tRNA from 1 species